AUGCGGAUGCAAAGGCAAGAAGUCGUUGAAGUAUCUGGGAAGAUUUACCUGAGGAUUCAGGUUGCAUUUUGGUUCUCUUCUGCACUGACGUCUCUUAGUUAUCUGUUUAUAUUACUAUGUAAAGGAGAAGACACCGAGCCUGCAAAUACAGACAUAGAAUACUCCACAUCUAGGGAUUCAGGUUACACUUUGAUUCUCUUCUGCAUUAACAUUACUUUUGAAUUAUGUGUUCACAAUACAUUAUUAGAUUUUAUUAAUGAUGUUUCCACUGUUGACAUGUACUACAGGAGAAGACACCGAGGACAUUCCUUAUGA
rnacentral:rRNA from 1 species